rnacentral:rRNA from 1 species
UAACCUUGCGGCCGUACUCCCCAGGCGGAGUGCUUAACGCGUUAACUACGUCACCGAAGCGCAUGCGCCCCGACAACUAGCACUCAUCGUUUACGGCGUGGACUACCAGGGUAUCUAAUCCUGUUCGCUCCCCACGCUUUCGCACCUCAGCGUCAGUAUCGGACCAGGUAGCCGCCUUCGCCACCGGUGUUCUUCCUAUAUCUACGCAUUUCACCGCUACACAGGAAAUUCCACCACCCUCUACCGUACUCUAGCUUGCCAGUUUUGGAUGCAGUUCCCAGGUUGAGCCCGGGGCUUUCACAUCCAACUUAACAAACCACCUACGCGCGCUUUACGCCCAGUAAUUCCGAUUAACGCUUGCACCCUCUGUAUUACCGCGGCUGCUGGCACAGAGUUAGCCGGUGCUUAUUCUGUCGGUAACGUCAAAAUAGCAACGUAUUAAGUUACUACCCUUCCUCCCAACUUAAAGUGCUUUACAAUCCGAAGACCUUCUUCACACACGCGGCAUGGCUGGAUCAGGCUUUCGCCCAUUGUCCAAUAUUCCCCA